GAUGAAGAACGCAGCGAAAUGCGAUAAGUAGUGUGAAUUGCAGAAUUCAGUGAAUCAUCGAAUCUUUGAACGCACAUUGCGCCCCUUGGUAUUCCAUGGGGCAUGCCUGUUCGAGCGUCAUUUGUACCUUCAAGCUUUGCUUGGUGUUGGGUGUUUGUCCCUCGGGACUCGCCUUAAAGUCAUUGGCAGCCAGUGUUUUGGUUUUGAAGCGCAGCACAAGUCGCGAUUCAAGGCUAUCCGCCCGCUUCCACAAGCCUUUUUCACUUUUGACCUCGGAUCAGGUAGGGAUACCCGCUGAACUUAAGCAUAUCAAUAAACGGAGGA
rnacentral:misc_RNA from 1 species